AGUGAACGCUGGCGGUAGGCCUAACACAUGCAAGUCGAACGGCAGCACAGGAGAGCUUGCUCUCUGGGUGGCGAGUGGCGGACGGGUGAGGAAUACAUCGGAAUCUACUUUAUCGUGGGGGAUAACGUAGGGAAACUUACGCUAAUACCGCAUACGACCUACGGGUGAAAGCAGGGGACCUUCGGGCCUUGCGCGAUUGAAUGAGCCGAUGUCGGAUUAGCUAGUUGGCGGGGUAAAGGCCCACCAAGGCGACGAUCCGUAGCUGGUCUGAGAGGAUGAGCAGCCACACUGGAACUGGGACACGGUCCAGACUCCUACGGGAGUCAGCAGUGGGGAAUAUUGGACAAUUGGCGCAAGCCUGAUCCAGCCAUACCGCGUGGGUGAAGAAGGCCUUCGGGUUGUAAAGCCCUUUUGUUGGGAAAGAAAUCCAGCUGGCUAAUACCCGGUUGGGAUGACGGUACCCAAAGAAUAAGCACCGGCUAACUUCGUGCCAGCCGCCGCCGUAA
rnacentral:rRNA from 1 species